UACGUAGGUGGCAAGCGUUGUUCGGAAUCACUGGGCGUAAAGCGCACGUAGGCGGAUUUUUAAGUCAGGGGUGAAAUCCCGGGGCUCAACCUCGGAACUGCCUUUGAUACUGGAGAUCUUGAGUCCGGAAGAGGUAAGUGGAACUGCGAGUGUAGAGGUGAAAUUCGUAGAUAUUCGCAAGAACACCAGUGGCGAAGGCGGCUUACUGGUCCGGAACUGACGCUGAGGUGCGAAAGCGUGGGGAGCAAACAGG
rnacentral:rRNA from 1 species